GAUGAACGCUGGCGGCGUGCCUAAUACAUGCAAGUCGAGCGAAUGGAUUGAGAGCUUGCUCUUAUGAAGUUAGCGGCGGACGGGUGAGUAACACGUGGGUAACCUGCCCAUAAGACUGGGAUAACUCCGGGAAACCGGGGCUAAUACCGGAUAACAUUUUGAACCGCAUGGAUCGAAAUUGAAAGGCGGCUUCGGUUGUCACUUAUGGAUGGACCCGCGUCGCAUUAGCUAGUUGGUGAGGUAACUGCUCACCAAGGCAACGAUGCGUAGCCGACCUGAGAGGGUGAUCGGCCACACUGGGACUGAGACACGGCCCAGACUCCUACGGGAGGCAGCAGUAGGGAAUCUUCCGCAAUGGACGAAAGUCUGACGGAGCAACGCCGCGUGAGUGAUGAAGGCUUUCGGGUCGUAAAACUCUGUUGUUAGGGAAGAACAAGUGCUAGUUGAAUAAGCUGGCACCUUGACGGUACCUAACCAGAAAGCCACGGCUAACUACGUGCCAGCCGCCGCCGUAA
rnacentral:rRNA from 1 species